rnacentral:rRNA from 1 species
GAUGAACGCUGGCGGCGUGCCUAACACAUGCAAGUCGAACGAAGCACUCUAUUUGAUUUUCUUCGGAAAUGAAGAUUUUGUGACUGAGUGGCGGACGGGUGAGUAACGCGUGGGUAACCUGCCUCAUACAGGGGGAUAACAGUUGGAAACGACUGCUAAUACCGCAUAAGCGCACAGUAUUGCAUGAUACAGUGUGAAAAACUCCGGUGGUAUGAGAUGGACCCGCGUCUGAUUAGCUAGUUGGUGGGGCAACGGCCUACCAAGGCAACGAGCAGAAGCCGGCCUGAGAGGGUGACCGGCCACGUUGGGACUGAGACACGGCCCAAACUCCUACGGGAGGCAGCAGUGGGGAAUAUUGCACAAUGGGGGAAACCCUGAUGCAGCGACGCCGCGUGAACGAAGAAGUAUUUCGGUAUGUAAAGUUCUAUCAGCAGGGAAGAUAAUGACGGUACCUGACUAAGAAGCACCGGCUAAAUACGUGCCAGCAGCAGCCGCCG